GCCUUCUUAGCUCAGUGGAAGAGCGUCGCUCUCCUAAGCCACGGCUUUUAGUAGUCGUGUGUCGGGAAGCGAAGACUCGAGUUCGAACCUCGGAGAGGGCU